UCCCCUGCAUUGACGCUACUA
rnacentral:siRNA from 1 species